rnacentral:rRNA from 1 species
CCUACGGGAGGCAGCAGUAGGGAAUCUUCCACAAUGGACGAAAGUCUGAUGGAGCAACGCCGCGUGAGUGAUGAAGGUUUUCGGAUCGUAAAACUCUGUUGUAAGGGAAGAACAAGUACGAGAGGGAAUGCUCGUACCUUGACGGUACCUUGCGAGAAAGCCACGGCUAACUACGUGCCAGCAGCCGCGGUAAUACGUAGGUGGCAAGCGUUGUCCGGAAUUAUUGGGCGUAAAGCGCGCGCAGGCGGCCUUUUAAGUCUGAUGUGAAAGCCCCCGGCUCAACCGGGGAGGGUCAUUGGAAACUGGAAGGCUUGAGUACAGAAGAGAAGAGUGGAAUUCCAUGUGUAGCGGUGAAAUGCGUAGAGAUGUGGAGGAACACCAGUGGCGAAGGCGACUCUUUGGUCUGUAACUGACGCUGAGGCGCGAAAGCGUGGGGAGCAAACAGGAUUAGAUACCCUGGUAGUCCACGCCGUAAACGAUGAGUGCUAGGUGUUGGGGGGUUUCCGCCCCUCAGUGCUGAAGCUAACGCAUUAAGCACUCCGCCUGGGGAGUACGGCCGCAAGGCUGAAACUUAAAUGAAUUGACGG